UUGUUUCCAUGUCAAUCCAUGUCUCAUAUUUUCAGUUGUUGGUAGCCAGCAAGUAAUCCCUAGUCCAUAGUGCCUCUUUCUCUGUCCUGGGAUGGCGUUCACAUAUUUUCUGUAGUAGCAUUAUCAACAGGUAACAAUAGUCCACAACAUAUAUAAGAUAUAUUUUGAUGCAAAUGUACCCAGCUAAAAUCUCCAUGAGCGUACAAAAUAGAGACUAAAGGUUCGUCAACAUAGUUUGAGGAUCUGGCUAACAAUGUGAAAAAUUUGGAGUUUUCACACUGAAAACAAAAAGUAUUGGUAGCUUCACUACUAAAAAUGAAAUAGAGACUAGGCAGUACCACUCAUGGCUCUUUCUAUUUUUAAGACUGAGUUCAGCAACCUCUUUGUCAGGUAUUACGAUAUCACGGACUAAUAAGUUUACCAAUUUCUAAGAGCUUUCUUGCAGUUUGUACUCUGUUUGUAAAGAAGUACCAUGUCACCUUUGAUAAGUGUGUCAUCGUUUCAUUUAUGUCAGUGUUUCACCUCUUCAAUUCUCAUGCAGAAGUAACACGUAAGAAAGAUAAGAAGAAUCAUACUCCUAUAUAGUAAUUCUGGCCAAAACAUUAUAUAAAAAGAUUCUAUUAGAUUAGGCGAGCCUCAGAGAGUUGUGUAUAGACCAGUGAGCCUCGUUAUAAACAACAUUGGGCGGCCAAAGAAAUUCUUGAAGUAUUAUACACAGCCAAGCUAUCAUUUUAGCUGCGACUAUCCAGAAGUACUAUGAACCACAUGUGAUUUUACUUCUAUCUUGGUCUGAAAUAUUAAAGCAACAUAAACACGUGAGGUGUUUGCUUCAUAUUACAAACAGUGGAAAGGAAGAAACAUGAAUCAAGUACUCCCUUCGAUCCAAAAUAAGUGUCGUAGUUUUAGUACAAAUUUGAACUAAAACCACGACACUUAUUUUGGAUAGUAGGGAGCAGUAUUUGGGACAAACAAAAAAUAUAAUAAUAAAGAAAAUACGUGCUGGUGGAAAUUUGGAGUUUUCAAACUGAAAACAAAAAAUAGUGGUAGCUUCACUACUGAAAAAAUAGAGACUGGGCAGUGCCACCCAUGGCUGAGCUUAGCAACCUCUUUGUCAGGUAUUACGAUAUCACGGACUAAUAAGUUUAAAAAUAUACGGCUUCAUAGGUGCACGGUUAAUCCUGCUUACUCUUUUACUUCAUCUCCUGAAUUUUAUUUUGUUCAAAUCUGUGCGGCUGCGCCAUUAAAAAGCUACAAUCAUUUAAUGUUAAUUGGGAAAUGCUUGAUUGUAUAGUUAUGGUUGUGUAGAUAUGAAGAGGAAGAGAACAAUGGAAAACGUUUGCCUAUCGGAUUUGAAUCCAACCCCCAAUCGAUCAUCGCCAUCAGCCAACACAAAGGGAUAAGGAAAUUACCACCACCAUGAGUGACCACGAAGCUGAUAACAUACGACAUCCUAUAUGCCUAUAGUAAGUCCACUCUCCCAAUUAGCCUCAAUUUGAAAUCUCAGAUUUUUAUUGUCUGAUAUGAAGUAUUGAUGCUUGAUUGACUGGGAAAAUAAAUUUGGAAUCAACUAGUUGUACUGUAUAUCAAAUUUUUUUCUGUACAACUAAUUUUUCUUCUAAACAAUUAAUAUUGUAGUGCUAUUUUUGUAGUGUUUACAGUAGUGAAAAUAUGAGUUCCGGCUUAUGCUUUUUGCAUGCUUUAAACUACUUUUGGCUUGGCCAAUAGUCAUUAUAAUCUAUAAAAGCUCAAGUGUAAAAGUCGCCCCCCUUAUGCCAAAUUUCUGGCUCCGUCCCUGGUGGUACUUGGUAAACUGCUAGGCACACGUUCGUUAUUUGUUGCUGGCAUCGUUCCAUCCCCUCGGAGCUCGGGACCAGGUUAGUAUUGGUUCAUCAAAGGUACUAGUACUAGUAUAACAGCAGACCACCAGACACCUGAUCUGACGUUCUGAGAUCAUACCUGUCAUGCACCGGGAUGAUGAGCAGCAACCAGUGGACGUGGACCAGGCGGAGGGAGCAUUAUGGCGAGAGACCACGAGGAAUAAACCAGCCGCCCGGUGUUGCCUUGCCGCGGGGCCGGGCCAGGGGCGCGCGCUCGGCUGCUCGCCCGUCGUCGCCACGAGCACAGGGCGAAGGCGUCGCGCGCUGUUCUGCCACGGGGUACGACGUUGGCGGGAACAGAAGCUGCUCUGGCCGCGCUCUGUGAGCCGGUCGAUCUCAUAGGUACGUGCUGUUCCGGGUCCAAGCAGCGGAGCGGGAACCCCGUCGCGCCUGGCGUGGACGGCUGGCUGGUGGCUGCCUUUCCCCGACCUCCUCCGGGGCAGCGAGCGGCCUUGGCAAUCCAAUCGC
rnacentral:lncRNA from 1 species